UUGUUUCCUAUUGGAUAGACCGGCGAACAUGUUAUCUUUGCUCACUCAAGCAGAGUUGGGAGCAUUACGCCUUGACGGCGUGGCUUCUUUCUCUGCUGUUUGGCAUGCGCUUGUUCUGGCUUACUGUACUCGUUAAGGGGACGGUGGCUUCAGCGACGCAGGUCAAAAAAAAAAAAAAAUCCGGCGCUUUUAAGCGUCAAGGAACAUUGACCGAAAGGGGAGGGCAUCCAUCCACAAGAGAAGAAAGUGGUGUGAGAUGUUCCUUUCGACCUUAAUCCAUGACGACUCUCGGCAACGGAUAUCUUGGCUCCCGCCACGAUGAAGAACGUAGCGAAAUGCGAUACUUGGUGUGAAUUGCAGAAUCCCGUGAAUCAUCGAGUCUUUGAACGCAAGUUGCGCCCGAGGCCAUUCGGCCAAGGGCACGUCUGCCUGGGCGUCAAGCUAUGCGUCGCCCUCUCCACGAUUCUCGUGUAUUUCGAGAUGGCCUAGGGAGAGCGGAGGAUUGGCCUUCGGCGUCAAAGUUUCGAUGGCGCCGUAGGUUGAAAGAUUACAUUUGCCUUACGAUUUUGGUUGUCGGCACAACGAGCGGUGGAUUUCCCAGUGAGUUGUUGUGCCUCACCUGAUCGAGAAGGCCAUUGGGACUCUUUUGAUGCAAGUUAUAGCUCCGAGUUUUCUGCUCAUCUU
rnacentral:sRNA from 1 species